GUGUAGCUGUGGCCAUUGAUUGACACAUUAAAAUCAUCCAUUGACUGGGAUAAUUUAGGUGAACGUUUGUAUGUAACGACCAAUGCUCACUAUGUACUUUUUAAAGACACUUAAACUAUGGGGUCACCAAAGGUUCUCAACACCUAAAUAAAGUAAUUCGAAAAAAUAAUCAGAAAUGACACGAUAUUUUGAUUUAUAUCAAUUAUAUAAAUCAAAACACAAAGGUUA
rnacentral:lncRNA from 1 species